UACAGGCACAGUUGAUUUUCAUGAUGGUAUUAAUGAAUAACAUGAUUAGUACAUACGGUUGGCGGCUACUCUACCAGAAUCAUCCCAAAGUCAGUUUGAAGCCUAGGCCACAUUUAGAUCCAGGCAAGCCUUUAAUUUUGACACCAUAUAUUGAGUCUGGUAAUGUUGAUGAAGGGAGAAAAUUAAGUUUGGUUAGUCAACUCAACACAACAACUAAAAGUUAUGCAGGGUAUUUCACUGUUGAUAA